GCGUGUGUAUGUGUGUGCGCGCGCGCGCGCGAACGCGCCCUCGCGAGCCUGCCCUAAGCGUGGCCCGGAGGGCACGUGCUGUGCGUGCCGUGGGCCCGCGGUUAGGCGCCCUGCGUGGGCGCGUGCGCUGCCGCAGUGCCAGCGUUGUGUGGGCGUUGAGACGUGGUCGAGAGGCCCUGGUGUCAGACCUGCCUCCCACGAAUUCCAGUUAAGGCUAGCUCUGUGGCCUGGGACAAAUUGCUAAACCUCUCUGAGCCUGUUUCUGCUUCGGGAAGCAUCGCAGCGGGGAAGUCAUGCACAGCCCUCAGCCGCUGCCUGCGCCUGGCUCUGUGCUCCUGAGUCCUGGAAUGGUAACUGUGCCUUCGGUACACCCGGAGGGGCCUGGAAAGCGAGCUCAAGCCCAUUUUACAGCUGGAAAGGGGCCCGUGCAGGCCAAGUGACUCAAGGGGGUUGGGGGAUUCCACCUGCUCCCAGCCAGUCUCCAACCUUCAAGGUCCAGGUGCUGGGGUUGGGGCCCAGGGGACAGGGGACCACGUUAAACACAACCCUUGAGGAUGCAAUCCACAAACUCCAGGCUGUGGGAAUCUCGACGGGACAAACCACCCAGUUUCUUCAACAAAUGCAUUUCGGGGGAAAAAGCAAUGGGAAGACCACAGAUUAAAAGAAAGUCCCAGCUUCCCAACCUUUCCCUGGGGAGCGCACCUGCCCUUCCCCGGGGGUCACAAGCAGCCCCGAGAACAACCGUAUGCUGUUCAGACCGUUCCACCGCCAGGAUGCUCCCCGCAGAGGAAGCUCACAAGACGGGCAGAGAACUGGCAGUCAGGGGCUGGAGGCAGGCCACAUCGGCCCACACGUGUGUUUUGUUUGGCUUGCAAAGUAUUUUUACAUUUUUGAGCCAACAGUAAAAGGUCAGGUGAUUUCAUAUGAAAAUCCGCAGUUCUGGCUUCUCCCGUAACUUCAGACAAUCUGGCCACAUGGGGUCUGUGUGCCUGGGCAACCGGAGGCUGGGUGGGGGCUGGCGGGCAGCUGUCCCCUUUGGGCAGGCCCUGUGCUUGUGGGUUUGCCACAGACCCCACCGGGCCUUCCAUCGCUCCCUGGCUUGGAGAACCCCUGGACAGCCAGCCGCCCCCAGUUGAAGGGAGAGGGGUCCAGAGGCCAAAUCUCUGGGGCACUUUUUCCUUCCUGCUGGUCUUGACCCUUCAAAAGUGCCCCCGCUGCCCUCGGGGCAAGCCAGGCUCACACAGGACCGCUACGUCCCUGGCACCUCAAGCCAUCCCCUGCCAGCCACCUGGCCCUGCUUCCUACCCACUGCCCACCCCUUGCCCUCCCUGUACACGGAAGGGGAUUCAUCAGUGCUGCUCCGGUGGUCGUUCACAUUGAGACCCGGCCCUGCCCCUGCACAGGGUCUCGGGGAACGGGGUUGGGGCCUAGCUGCAGCUCUGGGGAGGUCUCGGCGCGAGAAUUGGGCUCCAGGCCACGUCCAGGCGGCCACGCAGGCCUUGCCCGUCACCGCCUCCAACGUGGGCUCAGCCAAGGCCACAGAGGGCGCUGGUGGCCUAGUGAGAAAUAGCAGCCAGGUACCCAGAUUUGGGCCGGCCCUCAGUGGAAGAAGACCUUUCACCUCUUUCUGAGCAGGUGACCACCUGUGUUUUGCGGUCUAUAUUUAGAGCCUGAGGAGGACACGAAGAGGGUGUAGCCUGGCCAGGCUCCUGGGUCAUUUCCCGACAUCAACGUCACCAUUCCUGGCCUGCCUGGCUCCCGGGUUGGCCCUCUGUGGGCGGGUGAGCACGCACCUUGGCAGGAGGUGACACACCUGGGCUAAGAGCCUAGGCUUAGCCCCACCUCCUCCGUCACUGGGUUCCUGGGAACCUCCAGGGGCCUCCUUCUCGUCCUCCAAGUCCUCCUCCUCCUCCUCCUCAGGGGGAGGGGGUUUCCCACAGGCUGGAGGCCGAGCUCCGGGUUGGUCAGGAGGCGGAAAAUGAAGCAUCCAGACCUCCCGGAGACCAUCCUGGGUGGAGGGGUGUGAUAUCACUGUCACCCCCAGUCUCUGACCUCACAGGGCGUUACUGUCCCGGGGCAACUAGAACAAAAUACAUCAUCUCCUGGAGCCACGGAAACGGCCCAGGAGGGGCAGGCCGAGGGUUCCAGACCAGCCUGGAGCUUGCUGUGGGGCCUCCUGGGCCUCCCCAGGAAGUGGGCUCUCGCCGCCCCUGACACUGACUCCCGGGGUGUCGGGGGGAGGGGGGUCACUCAGAGGAGCACAGGGCAGCCGGUUCACCCUGAUAAACAGCACCCACACCGGUGGGAGCCGGGGGCCACUCUGACAACGGUCCCCCACUCCUGGAGAGUUUGGGGCCCACCACCCCAGGGGUCGCUGACCCCUGACACUUCUGAAGGCCACCCAGCCACCCUGCGACGGCUGGAGGUGAAGGGAGGAAGGAGGAAGAGGCAGAAAGAGACACAAGUAGAUGGAAAUGCAGACAGAGACCGCAGGGGAGGCCGAAACACAGAGAAUCACGGAGAGGGGAGCCCUGGGAAAGGAAACGGAGUCAGAGGUCGGGUCUCGACCCUCGCAGAGCCCGCGCACACACGGCCGAGGGGGAGCCCCGUAGGUCUGGGAGACUCUCUCUUGAGUUGUGCUCGUCCCUGCUCUGCACCUUCCCGGCCUCAGUUUCUCCAUCAGUAGGAUGGGGUGAUAAUAAUAACGCCACCACCGGGCCCUCAGGAGAGCGGAUGAUAAAACAAUGCCCAGGAGCCCUUGGUAAUCUGAGAAGCACAACAGGAACAGGAGACGCUGGACGCACGGCUCCCCGGCAGCGGCCGCCCAGGCAGGGGGCGGGGGGGACAGGCCGGCCUG